rnacentral:rRNA from 1 species
UACGAAGGGGGCUAGCGUUGUUCGGAAUUACUGGGCGUAAAGGGCGCGUAGGCUGUGCUGUAAGUCAGGCGUGAAAGCCCCGGGCUCAACCUGGGAAUUGCGCUUGAUACUGCGGCGCUGGAAGGUGGGAGAGGAUGGCGGAAUUCCCAGUGUAGAGGUGAAAUUCGUAGAUAUUGGGAAGAACACCGGUGGCGAAGGCGGCCAUCUGGCCCAUUUUUGACGCUGAGGCGCGAAAGCCGUUGGGGAGC